CAUAACACAUGCAAGUCGAGCGAGAAAGCACCUUCGGGUGUGAGUAGAGCGGCGCACGGGUGAGUAACACGUGGAUAAUCUACCCUCAGGUUCGGGAUAACUCGGAGAAAUUCGGGCUAAUACCGGAUGAUAAGGUAACUUUAAAGGAUGCUUCGGCAUGUGCUUUAGGAUGGGUCUGCGGAACAUUAGUUUGAUGGUGGGGUAAUGGCCUACCAUGGUUACGAUGUCUAGCGGAUCUGAGAGGAUGAUCCGCCACACUGGAACUGAGACACGGUCCAGACUCCUACGGGAGGCAGCAGUGGGGAAUAUUGCGCAAUGGGGGAAACCCUGACGCAGCAACGCCGCGUGAGUGAGGAAGGCCUUCGGGUUGUAAAGCUCUGUCAGAUGGGAAGAACGGCAGUUGGUCUAAUAGGCCAAUUGUGUGACGGUACCAUCAAAGGAAGCACCGGCUAACUUCGUGCCAGCAGCCGCGGUAAUACGAAGGGUGCAAGCGUUAUUCGGAUUUACUGGGCGUAAAGCGCGCGCAGGCGGAUUUAUAAGUCAGAUGUGAAAUCUCGGGGCUCAACCUCGAAACUGCGUCUGAAACUAUUAAUCUAGAGUCUUGGAGGGGGAAGUGGAAUUUCGCAUGUAGGGGUAAAAUCCGUAGAGAUGCGAAGGAACACCAGUGGCGAAGGCGACUUCCUGGACAAGAACUGACGCUGAGGCGCGAAAGCGUGGGUAGCAAACAGGAUUAGAUACCCUGGUAGUCCACGCCGUAAACUAUGUGCACUAGAUAUUGGAGGUUUGACCCCUUCAGUGUCGCAGCUAACGCAUUAAGUGCACCGCCUGGGGAGUACGGUCGCAAGACUAAAACUCAAAGGAAUUGACGGGGGCCCGCACAAGCGGUGGAUUAUGUGGUUUAAUUCGAAGCAACGCGCAAAACCUUACCUGGGCUUGAACUCCCACGAAUCCCCCCCAAAAGGGGGAGUGCCCUUCGGGGAGUAAGGUGAUAGGCGCUGCAUGGCUGUCGUCAGCUCGUGUCGUGAGAUGUUGGGUUAAGUCUCGCAACGAGCGCAACCCCUAUUUUUAGUUGCCAGCAUUAAGUUGGGCACUCUAGAGAGACUGCCCGGGUUAACCGGGAGGAAGGUGGGGAUGACGUCAAGUCCUCAUGGCCCUUAUGUCCAGGGCUACACACGUAAUACAAUGGUGCAUACAAUGGGACGCGACCUGGUGACAGUGAGCAAAUCUCAAAAAGUGCAUCUCAGUCCGGAUUGAAGUCUGCAACUCGACUUCAUGAAGUUGGAAUCGCUAGUAAUCGUGGAUCAGCACGCCACGGUGAAUACGUUCCCGGGCCUUGUACACACCGCCCGUCACACCAUGGGAGUUGAUCUUACCUGAAGCUA
rnacentral:rRNA from 1 species